rnacentral:rRNA from 1 species
CCUACGGGUGACAGCAGUGGGGAAUAUUGCACAAUGGGGGAAACCCUGAUGCAGCGACGCCGCGUGAGUGAAGAAGUAUUUCGGUAUGUAAAGCUCUAUCAGCAGGGAAGAAAUAGCGACCUUUGGUUCGCCAGACGGUACCUGAUUAAGAAGCCCCUGCUAACUACGUGCCACCAGCCGCGGUAAUACGUAGGGGGCAAGCGUUAUCCGGAGUUACUGGGUGUAAAGGGAGCGUAGACGGCAGCGCAAGUCUGAAGUGAAAUACCGGGGCUUAACCCCGGAACUGCCUUUGAAACUGUGCUGCUAGAGUGCACGAGAGGUAAGUGGAAUUCCUAGUGUAGCGGUGAAAUGCGUAGAUAUUAGGCGGAACACCAGUGGCGAAGGCGGCUUACUGGACUGUAACUGACGUUGAGGCUCGAAAGCGUGGGGAGCAAACAGGAUUAGAUACCCUUGUAGUC